AUGCGGAACUUGACUGCUGGAAUGGCUA
rnacentral:piRNA from 1 species